rnacentral:rRNA from 1 species
GUGUCAGCCGCCGCGGUAAUACAGAGGGUGCAAGCGUUAAUCGGAAUUACUGGGCGUAAAGCGUGCGUAGGCGGCUUUUUAAGUCGGAUGUGAAAUCCCUGAGCUUAACUUAGGAAUUGCAUUCGAUACUGGGAAGCUAGAGUAUGGGAGAGGAUGGUAGAAUUCCAGGUGUAGCGGUGAAAUGCGUAGAGAUCUGGAGGAAUACCGAUGGCGAAGGCAGCCAUCUGGCCUAAUACUGACGCUGAGGUACGAAAGCAUGGGGAGCAAACAGGAUUAGAUACCCCAGUAGUCC